rnacentral:rRNA from 1 species
UACGGAGGGUGCGAGCGUUGUCCGGAAUCACUGGGCGUAAAGGGCGCGUAGGUGGCGCGGGUAGUCAACGGUGAAAGUUCGGGGCUCAACCCUGAAUCGGCCGUCGAUACUCCCGUGCUUGAGCACUGUAGAGGCUAAUGGAAUUCCGGGUGUAGCGGUGGAAUGCGUAGAGAUCCGGAAGAACACCGGUGGCGAAGGCGGUUAGCUGGGCAGUUGCUGAUACUGAGGCGCGACAGCGUGGGGAGCAAACAGG